rnacentral:rRNA from 1 species
UGGGGAAUAUUGCACAAUGGGCGCAAGCCUGAUGCAGCGACGCCGCGUGGGGGAUGACGGCCUUCGGGUUGUAAACUCCUUUCGCUAGGGACGAAGCUUUUUGUGACGGUACCUAGAUAAGAAGCACCGGCUAACUACGUGCCAGCAGCCGCGGUAAUACGUAGGGGGCGAGCGUUGUCCGGAAUUACUGGGCGUAAAGGGCUCGUAGGUGGUUUGUCGCGUCGUCUGUGAAAUUCCGGGGCUUAACUCCGGGCGUGCAGGCGAUACGGGCAUUACUUGAGUACUGUAGGGGUAACUGGAAUUCCUGGUGUAGCGGUGAAAUGCGCAGAUAUCAGGAGGAACACCGAUGGCGAAGGCAGGUUACUGGGCAGUUACUGACGCUGAGGAGCGAAAGCAUGGGUAGCGAACAGG